rnacentral:rRNA from 1 species
GACGUAGGGCGCGAGCGUUGUCCGGAUUUAUUGGGCGUAAAGAGCUCGUAGGCGGCUCAUUGCGUCAACCGUGAAAACCAGCAGCUCAACUGUUGGCUUGCGGUUGAUACGGGUGGGCUGGAGUUCGGUAGGGGAGACUGGAAUUCCUGGUGUAGCGGUGAAAUGCGCAGAUAUCAGGAGGAACACCGGUGGCGAAGGCGGGUCUCUGGGCCGAUACUGACGCUGAGGAGCGAAGGCGUGGGGGGCGAACAGG